CAGCUGCUCUCCGCUUCCUAGCCGUUAACAGGGGCACCGCAAAUGGCUUCUGUUAAAGAUACAUUUCCCUUCCUACUGCAACCCCUGUGCCCACAGUCUACCGCUGUGAAUGUGAAUGAACCUUUGUACAGGUUCUCUUCGCUCCUUCCCUCUCUCAACAGAUGUAAUGGCGAGAUUUUGGAGAAGCAGAGACCCACUUACAAACCUAAGAAAAGCAACCUCAGUGGGGGUGUGCAGAUGUUUAUUUGAGUGCUCCUUCUCUUUUAUUUCCCUCGAAAGAUGUUGUCAGGCCCCACCUCGCCCGUGCUGGAAGUUGCAGGAGCUGAGGAGGAUCGCUUUGGGGCUGGCUGGGGCUCGGUGCAGCUGCUAUGAGCCAUUGCUGCUCUAAACUUGGGUCUUCCUGCUCUCAAGCCACUUAUGUCACUCUGGUGGAAUAAAGGCUCUAUCUAAAGCUGACAGCAGAGAUGAUUUUUCAACAUGAUAGGAAGUCUGUGAUACCAUUUGACGGUAUUUAUGUUCUCUCCAGAUGACCUGUUUUCAGAAGAAUCUCUUCAAAUGACUUGCCAACAUUAACAGUCCCUAUACUGCAAAUUGCUUAUUAUUAAUAUUACUUAAUUUUAGAGCAUGUAUCACAAAAUAAUUAAAACGUAAUAUUUACAAAGAAGAUUG